UUCCCGGCAAGGAGAGCUUGAGACGGUUCAAGAAGCUGUAAACCCUGGAUGCUGGAUGAGGAAGUAGGAAGUUUUCUUGGAAGAUCAGCAAGGAAGGAGUCACUACGCUCAAAGAGAAGGCUUUGUACAAGGACAAGAUUUUGCCCAAGUUAGAGUUCUGUGCUGCUGGUUCUAGGCCGGGGGAUGAGCCACGUUGAGCCCACAUCCUGGCGUUCUUUAUCACAGCUGCCUGCAUAGCCAUUGGCCACAGAUUAUUGCAUUGACUGGUCGCCCUGGAUGCAGG
rnacentral:lncRNA from 1 species